UGUCUUUUCUAUAAUUGCCUCCACUAAUCUUUUACAGUUUUUGUUGUACAAAUCUUUUACCUUCUUUAGUAUAUUUAUUUAUAUAUUAAUUAUAUAUCAAUCUCGCAAAGAGAACUAAAGCCAGAUUUCCCUGAAACCAGACGAGCUACCCAAGAACAGCUGAAAGAGCGUACCCGUCUUAUGUAGCAAAAUAGUGGGAAGAUUUAUGGGUAGAGGUGACAAAUCUACCGAGCCUGGUGAUAGCUGGUUAUCCAAGACAGAAUUUUAGUUCAACCUUAAGUUUACCUACAGAACUACUCAAUCCCUCUGUAAACUUAAUUGUUAUUCUAAAGAGGGACAGCUCUUCAGACAUUAGGAAAAAACCUUGUACAGAGAGUAAAAAAAAUAACCUCCAUAGUUGGCCCAAAAGCAGCCAUCAAUUAAGAAAGCAUUCAAGCUCAACAUCAACCACAUAAAAAUUCCAAACAUAUCACUAAACUCCUUAUACCACAUUGGAUUAAUCUAUCACUUCAUAGAAGCAAUAAUGCUAAUAUAAGUAACAUGAACAUUUUCUCCACCGCAUAAGCCUAAAUCAGAUAGAAAAACUCACCGAUACUUAACAGCCCAACACUAACAAACACAAACAAGCCAAUGUUACCCACACUGUUAACCCAACACAGGCAUGCCUUAAGGAAAGGUUAAAAAAAGUAAAAGGAACUCAGCAAACUUAACCCCGCCUGUUUACCAAAAACAUCACCUCUAGCAUUACCAGUAUUAGAGGCACUGCCUGCUCAGUGACACACGUUCAACGGCCGCGGUACCCUGACCGUGCAAAGGUAGCAUAAUCACUUGUUUCUUAAAUGGGGACUCGCAUGAAUGGCACCACGAGGGUUCAACUGUCUCUUACUUUCAACCAGUGAAAUUGACCUGCCCGUGAAGAGGCGGGCAUGAAACAAUAAGACGAGAAGACCCUAUGGAGCUUUAAUUUAUUAAUGCAAUCAAAACUAUAUAAAUCUACGGACCCUUACGUCACUACACCUGCAUUAAAAAUUUUGGUUGGGGUGACCUCGGAGCACAGUCAAACCUCCGAACAAUCCAUGCUAAGACUACACAAGCCAAAGCAGACCAGCGCCUGUAAUUGAUCCAAUAACUUGACCAACGGAACAAGUUACCCUAGGGAUAGUAGCGCAAUCCUAUUCCAGAGCCCAUAUCGACAAUAGGGUUUACGACCUCGAUGUUGGAUCAGGACAUCCUAAUGGUGCAGCAGCUAUCAAGGGUUCGUUUGUUCAACGAUUAAAGCCCUAUGUGAUCUGAGUUCAGACCGAAGCAAUCCAGGUCAGUUUCUAUCUAUUCUGUAUUUCUCCCUGUACGAAAGGACAAG
rnacentral:rRNA from 1 species